rnacentral:rRNA from 1 species
UGGGGAAUCUUGGACAAUGGGGGCAACCCUGAUCCAGCGAUGCCGCGUGGGUGAUGAAGGCCUUCGGGUUGUAAACCCCUUUUCCCGGUGACGAUGAUGACGGUAGCCGGGGAAUAAGCACCGGCUAACUCCGUGCCAGCAGCCGCGGUAAGACGGAGGGUGCUAGCGUUGUUCGGAUUUACUGGGCGUAAAGGGCGCGUAGGCGGCUUUGUAAGUCGGGUGUGAAAGCCCGGGGCUCAACCCCGGAACGGCACUCGAGACUGCGGGGCUGGAGACCGGGAGAGGAGAGUGUAAUACCCAGUGUAGAGGUGAAAUUCGUAGAUAUUGGGUGGAACACCGGUGGCGAAAGCGGCUCUCUGGUCCGGAUCUGACGCUGAGGCGCGAAAGCGUGGGGAGCAAACAGGAUUAGAUACCCCCGUAGUCC